UAGGAUUAGGAUUUGGUUAGGAUUUGAUUUAGAAUUAGGAUUUGAUUUAAGAUUUAGGAUUUGGUUAGGAUUUGAUUUAGGAUUAGGACUUGAUUUAGGAUUUAGAGUUUGGUGAAGGUUUGAUUUAGGAUUGAGAUUUGAUUAGGAUUUGGUUCAAGGUUUAGGAUUUGGUUAGGAUUUGAUUUAGGAUUAUGAUUUGAUUAAGAUUUGAUUUAGAAUUUAAGAUUUGAUUUAGGAUUAUGAUUUGAUUAAGAUUUCAUUUAGAAUUUAAGAUUUGAUUUAGGAUUGGUUAAGAUUUGAUUUAGGAUUUAGAGUUUGGUUAAGGUUUGAUUUACGAUUUAGGGUUUGGUUUAGGAUUUGAAUCUAAAAGGUAUGACAUUAUAUUCAAAAUAUCUAUAAAUAAUUUAAAAAGUAGUCUUGAAUUUAUCUCUUUCUUUGAAACGAACUAAGUUGUAUGCUCUUCAUAGAUCUAUUUUGAUAUAAAUCUUUGCUUGAUUGAGUUGAUCAAGAAGUUCUAAAAUCAAAGGCAAAGGAUA
rnacentral:lncRNA from 1 species